rnacentral:rRNA from 2 species
UGGCGUUUCGGGUCACGUACAUCCGAGGGUCG